rnacentral:rRNA from 1 species
GCAUAUCAAUAAGCGGAGGAAAAGAAACCAACAGGGAUUGCCCCAGUAACGGCGAGUGAAGCGGCAACAGCUCAAAUUUGAAAUCUGGCUUCGGCCCGAGUUGUAAUUUGCAGAGGAUGUUUAUGGUGCGGUACCUUCCGAGUUCCCUGGAACGGGACGCCACAGAGGGUGAGAGCCCCGUCUGGUUGGAUACCAAACCUGUGUUAAACUCCUUCAACGAGUCGAGUAGUUUGGGAAUGCUGCUCUAAAUGGGAGGUAAAUCUCUUCUAAAGCUAAAUAUUGGCCAGAGACCGAUAGCGCACAAGUAGAGUGAUCGAAAGAUGAAAAGCACCUUGAAAAGGGGGUUAAACAGUACGUGAAAUUGUUAAAAGGGAAGCGUUUAUGACCAGACUUGUGUCGUGUGGCUCAUCCGAGGUUCUCCCCGGUGCACUCCACACGGCUCAGGCCAACAUCGGUUUUCGUUGGGGGAGAAGAACAGCAGGAACGUGGCCCUCUUCGGAGGGUGUUAUAGCCUGCUGUACGAUACCCUGACGGGGACCGAGGACCGCGCUUCGGCUAGGAUGUUGGCGUAAUGGUCAUUAGCGACCCGUCUUGAAACACGGACCAAGGAGUCGUCCAUUAGAGCGAGCGUUUGGGUGUCAAACCCGCACGCGUAAUGAAAGUGAAAUUAGGUGAGAGCUUCGGCGCAUCAUCGACCGAUCCUGAAGUUUACGGAUGGAUUUGAGUAAGAGUUUUAACGGACGGACCCGAAAGACAGUGAACUAUGCUUGAAUAGGGUGAAGCCAGAGGAAACUCUGGUGGAGGCUCGCAGCGGUUCUGACGUGCAAAUCGAUCGUCAAAUUUGAGCAUGGGGGCGAAAGACUAAUCGAACUGUCUAGUAGCUGGUUACCGCCGAAG